ensembl:lncRNA
GGGGGGGGGCUGAGAAGCGGGAGGGGGGUAGGCUUAUUUGUGGUGAUCCAUAGGCAGGCAAAGUGAAAAUUUACGGACUGUACAGCCCCAGACAGUGGGGGAAAAUAGAAGCUGUGUAACCCCAGAGACCAGAAGGUGGACUACAGAUAAAUCUGCGAAGAGAAGUAAAAAGAUGUGUUGAAGACAGCGAGAUAAAGAGAGAACUAGUGAGCGAAGCUGUAGUCAUCCUGAUAGAUAGAGCAGCAAGAGUGAUUUAGUCUGCUCGGGAGGAUCCAAUGAGAAUUCAAGAGGGCACCGCUUCGGAAAUCCUGCUCAGAUCUUCCCUCUCUCAGUUCUUUAAGAGUUACCUGCGCUGGGAACAUUAUUAUUAGGGUUAACAGUAUUCCAUCAGUGCAUUCCACUAGGAUCUCCCUUUCUUUCCCUCGCAGCAACGGAGGGAGGCGUAGUACGGAAGCCCAACUCCACCGAGCCCCCCAGAUAAACCCCUGUGUUCACUUUAGGAUGGCCGGAUCCUCGAGGAUUGGCCUGGGGGGCUGAAGAUGCGGAGGAGGCCGGGUCUCCCGGGCGCUUUCGGGGGCGCAGGGCCGGGAGGCGUAGGCAGGGGGCUGGGGAACCGCUGCUGGAAGCGGCGGCGGCGGCGGCAGGAGCCCUCCCAGGUCCUGCUUCCUCGGCGAAUCCUGCUUCCCCGGGACUCCAGGCAAUGGGCUUCCAUCGGGAACCUCAGCUCCAAGUGCCUCACUUUAGCAGCUAGAGCUUUGGAGGUUCUGAGGAUCGUCCCUGUCCCUGGGGGCAGAGGGUGGCAGGCUGCGAGUCUCCCGCGCCCCCUCUGAUUCCUGCACUGGUAACGGAGGGAGAGUGAGUCAGAAAUGGUUUUGCUGCCGAAUGCAUUAUCUGGCCAUGUUCACAGCCCUGUACCGCACAAGCGAUCGCCUGAUCGAUCCGAAAUAAGAGGGAAAGGUAGAGUGGAAAUUGAUUUAUUGCAGAGACUGAGGCGCCAAAUGAAAGAGGGAAUAAACAUUUGCCCUGGAUAAAAAUGUUCUUGGUAAGUAAUCUUAUUUUCUGCGGUUGAAAAGGAAACACAUUGCUUCUCACUACCCCAUCCCCCACUCCAUUCAUUUAUUUGCUCUCUGUAUGUAAAUCACGAGCCGGGUCAGUGGAAUUUUUCUUUUCCUUCUUCCUAGGAAAGUAGGAGCUUGUAAGGAUGAAUUUGAAGUAAAGGGGCUUGAAGAAGGCAGUGUGAAGGCUUUAAGGUCCUAAUUUCCUGCAUUCAAAGUACAAACUCAGUUAAAGCUGAUGCCUGCUUGUUUGCUAAAUGAGUAGUUAAAUACCUCCCUGAUUUCUUACUGAAAUUUUCCUUUCUGAAAAUAAAGAAUAUAGUUUGGGGUCUGUGUCUAUGCUUUUCAUAUAGCUUGACUAUGUUCUAAAAUAUAAUAUUUUCUCAGUUUCAGAAAUAAUGUGAAUCGCGCCCCCCCACCCCCCACCCCCGGCCUUUUCUUUGCAGGGGGGGAGGGGCAGGAAAGAUGAAGUCAUAGAACCGUUUUACAAAUGUGUGCACCUUCCUUCCAAUUCUUGCACCGGAUAUAAACUUAUAAGGUCCAGAGUAGGCUUUUGCAUGUCAUGGUGAUACCUGUGAAUUCAUCCAGUCCUGGCUUUCCUGAGUCUACAGCGUCCCCAGCCUGCACAGACUCCUGCCUGGAGAAUGGGUAGGUGGAGGAGUGGGAGGAGCCAAAGAUUGACUGUGUUGACAUCAUGUGUCACUAGGUGCUCAGAAUCACAAAGCUUGCAAAUUGUGUGAACUCGGUUUUGCUGGUGUAAACUGACCACUUUGGAGGUGAAUACUUAAAGGAGACCUGCUCUAAAAGAAAUUGUUGCAAUUUUGAGUUCAAGAACAUGAUUUAUUGGUGAACUACUCAUAUUCACUUUUUCCUCCAUUGUGAUCAUUCUUUCCACUGUAAACUCCUUAUCCUCAGUUUUAAUGAUAAUGGAUUAUUUAACUGUCCCAAAAUGCAGUCCUGAUACAAACAGACUGCCUUUAACCUCAUAUGAAAUAAUUCAUCUUAAAAAUUCCAUGGAUGAGAGAGUAAAAAUAGACUUUAUUUCUGAUCAUCAAUUUUCUAGAACUUGCUAAGGUAAAAUCCCAGGACUAAGUGGGUGUGUGCAUGUGUUGAAAUCCGUACCUAUUAUUCCUAUCAAAAUAGCAAGGGAAAAAUUUUUUUCACAAAGGACAUGUUUGUAUAACUCUUUUUCUUUCUCUCCUCAGGCUGUAUUCCAUAACUAAUGAUGCCCUAGAGCAGAAGGUUUCCUUCAGUCAUCUCAUUUAACCAAAAGGAUGAUUUCUGUGCAUGUCCCUGUGUUUUAGACACAUGUAGCAAGGGAGAUUGGAGGUCCACCCAAGGAGGAUGACUUAUUACAAACACAAACCUAGCAGCUGUGGUUUGAAAGAACAUACUUUUUAUAUAAAAAUUACAAUAUGCUGUUCAAACCUAUUUAAGCUGUUAUUCAAGGAAAUAGAAUUAUUUAUUGAGAACCCAACUUAAAUUAGAAAAGUAACAUUGACAUUUUUAGCACAUAUGUGAAAUAAAUGUGAGAUUGAUAUUCUUUUAAAUAUUUAGAGAAAAAAAUAGGACAAGAUGAAAAAAUACUGUGACCCAUGGCUCCUUAACUUUAAAAGAGUUUACAGCACUUAGACAUCAAUAAAUAAUAUGAGUAUUUUAACAUUAUAUUAGAUCAUGUGAUUAUAUUUGAUCAACCCGCAGAUAGAGCUGUCUCCUAACUGGUUUCUACCUAAGAGCAAGAAAGUUUGAGCUUAGACCUUACUCAGAAGUUAUGCAUUUUAUUUUUAUGUUGAACUUGUCUUUUCCUGGGUAAUCUUCACGUACAUCUGCAGUUGGUAUUUUAGCCAAUUUUUGUUAUUGGUAAUGUUCUUGUCUGUUAUUCUGGCUCCAUCUUUUUUAAGAAUAUGGGUAUCACCUAAUAUAUUUCUUACCUAUUAAUCCGCUAAAAUUUCUAACACAAAGCAACAUUCAAGACAUGUUGAAUUAAAGAAAUUAUGAAGCAAGUUGCUUGUGAAGAAAAGUGUCAAUAUACUUCAGAUUAUUUUAACCUGAAAUAAAUGUGUAACAAAAAUGGGUUAUAAUGAGAUAAGUACAGUCAAACUGUUCCUUGUAUACAUAUGUAACACUCACAUUUAUACAUAUAUAGUUGCCCUCAUUACAAUGCUUAAAUUUAUUCAUUUGAGUCUUAUGCUUAUUUUGAUUUCAGAGUUUUCUCUUUGAAAGUGUCUAAAACUUCUUCAAUAACUAAGUGUGAAAGUAUCUUCAUGUCUUAUCUCAUGAGACUAUAAUGGAGCAGGACCCUAGGAGGCUUUCCUAGAACAGACCCACACACAUGUCCUCCACCUGCCUUUGUAGAAAAACUUUAGUCGAGGAAUAAAGUUCAUCAGAGAAGUAAGAAGAUGCAGAGAGAAAGAGAAACAGUCAAGCAUGACAAACUAAUACUUUAUCCAUUAAACAAAGUCAAGGACCUUAGUUCCUCCUCAAAGGCUAUAGAUAAUAUUCUGAACUAUAUCCUUUGAGCUGUUUUACAAAUACUGAAACCCCCACCAGGUGGAAGUAGUUACUGUUGUCUGCCCAGAGACAGGGAGACCUCCAGGCAGGUUGGAACCAGAAGGCUGAUGAUAUUGACUCCCAAUCACCUCAUUAUCAAGCUGAUCGUGCCCUGCUCCUUGAAUACUUAAAUAAGACUCCUCACUACUACCCACCUCCGUGGUAGGACACAUGGUCUCAAGGGCAUUAGCCCUCUGUGGCCCUCUGUGCUUGUCAAAGAAAUAAAGCUAUUUCUAUUUCACCCAAAACUCUGUCUGAUUUACUCCAGCACCAUGGUGCAAAGGCCAAAUUUCAGAAACAAGGUCAAUAUGCUGCUAAAUGAACUGACCAGUACAUUCACAUCUCAGAAAAAGUGUACUGGAACUUGAAGGAGUAUUAAAGGUAGCUUAGUCAUUUUCAUUAUGAUGAAAAAUUUGAGCACCAGAGAAACUGAGUCAUUAGUGUAAUCAUACACUAGCUACUAACCCAGGGAAUUUUAAAUAUAGUUUUAGUAACUUCUUAGCUAGUAUUAUUCUGAAUCAAUUCGAUUGACAUUGACAUUGAAGUCUUUCAGUCGUGUCUGACUGUUUGUGACCCCAUGGACUGUAGCCUACCAGGCUCCUCCGUCCAUGGAAUUUUUCAGGCAAGUGUACUGGAGUGGAUUGCCAUUUCCUUCUCCCGGAGCUCUUCCGGACCCAGGGAUCGAACCCAGUCUCCCUCAUUGUAGGCAGGCGCUUGCUAAACAAGUAGUGUUUUUGAAAUUGGGCUAAACAAUAAAUGAAAGAGAGAAAAAGCAGUGUAAAGAUGAAUAUAUUGCAGUCUUCUCCAAGCUUAUUUUGUUGCUAACACUCUUUAUUGUAGAUUUUUUUUCUUUUUCUGCUGUGUUUUAUCCUCCCCUUUUCCUUCCAUCCCUGUCCUCAAAGAUUGGGGAAUAUUUCAUGACAUAAUUUUACUUUCUAAGGAAAGAUUCUCAGUGUUCUGUCUGUAUGUGCAUUGCGUUGUUCACUAGGCUAUGUUCCACUACACAAUACAACCUUAAAAUGUAGAUAAUUUCAGUCACCUGCAACAUCAUUUUCCAUCAUGUCACUUCUAUUUUCCUCAUUUUAAAUUUCCUGCCAAUAUAAACAGUGGGAUUGUAUGAAAAGAAAAGCCAGGAUCUCAAAAUAAGCUAUUUAAUAAGACCCUGAAUUACCUCAGAGAUAAAUUAAAAAAAAAAAAAAAACCUCACACACACAGACACUGUGAAAUAAAUGCACAAGUUAAGACAGUGCAUUGUGAUGAAGACAUUAGGUGAAAAAAAAAAAUGUUCUGGUCAAAAAGUUCUAUACUUAUUAGGAGAAAAGCUGUAAGACUAUAGCCAUUUAGAGGGUGUUCAAUUUUCUGCAGUGGCUGAAGUCAUAUCAAUCUUCUACAUUCUUUUAUAUAUGUCAAUAUUUGAGUAUUACACAUAAGCCAUAAGUUUUGGUAAUGACAAACAUAAAAGACAAGCAUUAACAUGAAAAUCCAUGGGAGUUAUUAUUACUUCAGAAGAGAUAUCAUUCCUGGAUUAAACAAGACAGUAAUAGAACCAAAUUUAAACAUGUAUGGAUGUGAGAGACUGUGAAGAAGGCUGAGCGCUGAAGAAUUGACGCUUUUGAACUGUGGUGUUGGAGAAGACUCCUGAGAGUCCCUUGGAUUUCUUUGGAAGGAAUGAUGUGCUCUCAAGUAUAGUGUUAAAAUUUUACACUAACUUCAGUUCAGUUCAGUUCAGUUCAGUCACUCAGUCGCGUCCUACUCUUUGCGACUCCAUGAAUCGCAGCACGCCAGGCCUCCCUGUCCACCAACUCCCAGAGUUCACUCAGAUUCACGUCCAUCCAGUCAGUGAUGCCAUCCAGCCAUCUCAUUUGCUGUCGUCCCCUUUUCCUCCUGCCCCUAAUCCCUCCCAGCAUCAAAGUCUUUUCCAAUGAGUCAACUCUUCACACGAGGUGGCCAGAG